GAUGAACGCUGGCGGCGUGCCUAAUACAUGCAAGUCGAGCGAAUGGAUUGAGAGCUUGCUCUUAUGAAGUUAGCGGCGGACGGGUGAAUAACACGUGGGUAACCUGCCCAUAAGACUGGGAUAACUCCGGGAAACCGGGGCUAAUACCGGAUAACAUUUUGAACCGCAUGGUUCGAAAUUGAAAGGCGGCUUCGGCUGUCACUUAUGGAUGGACCCGCGUCGCAUUAGCUAGUUGGUGAGGUAACGGCUCACCAAGGCAACGAUGCGUAGCCGACCUGGGAGGGUGAUAGGCCACACUGGGACUGAGACACGGCCCAGACUCCUACGGGAGGCAGCAGUAGGGAAUCUUCCGCAAUGGACGAAAGUCUGACGGAGCAACGCCGCGUGAGUGAUGAAGGCUUUCGGGUCGUAAAACUCUGUUGUUAGGGAAGAACAAGUGCUAGUUGAAUAAGCUGGCACCUUGACGGUACCUAACCAGAAAGCCACGGCUAACUACGUGCCAGCCGCCGCAGUAA
rnacentral:rRNA from 1 species